rnacentral:rRNA from 1 species
UACGAAGGGUGCAAGCGUUACUCGGAAUUACUGGGCGUAAAGCGUGCGUAGGUGGUUCGUUAAGUCUGUCGUGAAAGCCCCGGGCUCAACCUGGGAAUGGCGAUGGAUACUGGCGGGCUAGAGUGCGGUAGAGGAGAGUGGAAUUCCCGGUGUAGCAGUGAAAUGCGUAGAGAUCGGGAGGAACAUCAGUUGCGAAGGCGGCUCUCUGGACCAGCACUGACAUUGAGGCACGAAAGCGUGGGGAGCAAACAGG